CCGAUGGUUCCUGCGAAGGAUUAAAUGGGAACGCGGUGAAACACACCUGUCAUGGCACAGGUUGUUGAGUCCGCGGCUGUUCCCGCAACUGUAAGCGAAGAGCGUUUUUCAACCACGGCCACUGGGCAACUGGGAAGGCCGAAAAGCGCAAUGACACGUGAGCCAGGAGACCUGCCAUCACA
rnacentral:ncRNA from 1 species